UGCACAAAAAUGAUUCAUAGUUUUAACUUAAAAUGGCUCCCCUUUAAAGCCCUUUUUGCACCCCUAAACUCUUUUUUACCUUUAUAUUAACCCCGUCUGUAAAACAGGUUUUCCAGCUUUUCAAUAGAAUGUCGGUUGGCUGGUGUUUCUUAUUUAUUUCGAAAAUGUGUGUAAAAUGUUUUCAGCUGAAACAAAAGCAUCGUCUGGCAUUUCCAGACUCACUUUUGACCACCGAAACUCGAAACCCAUCCAACCACCUUCGGCUGCAUUAUUCAUUUGGUCUUAUUUCUCUGCUCUUGACGUCAUCUCUGUGUAUUUCAAUUUGGUAUUUAUUUCGCUUUUUACGUGUUGACACUGGAUACCCAAAGAAUAUAAAAACACAUACAGGAUUUUUAGAGUAAAAAUCGCAUUAGCUUGGCAGGGCAAUCAAUCAAUCAGUGGGUGCUCUCCCCCUUUCAUUCCAUUUUCUUGCCAACCCGACAAAGAAUUCUUCUGGGCUUUUGCUGGCCAUAAAUUAUGUUGGUCGUAAUCAGUUUUGUUACAGUUUGUGCCUUGGCUUUCUCACGAACUUUUGCGAAGCCGCAAAAUCACCCCAACUCUCUCUUCGUCUCUCUAUAGACCCGAUUACCGUUAGCUUUUGUCUAGGAGAAGAAUCCGCCAGGUGAAUGAAAAGGGGUGGGGAGAAGAGUUCAUUUACCUAUGGCAGUUGAAAACGUGCCUCUCGUCGCAACUCUGGGAUCAAACUACAUCGGCAUUCAAUUGGAAGCUCUGAAAGGCUUCUACUUACCUGCCUACCUUUGUCCAGCUGCCAAAGUUUCGCGAAAUGUAAUCCCAUAAUGAAUGGUUGACAAAUAUAUCGAUGUUUGUCUGAGCUCAAAUCUUCAUCACUUCGGUAACUGACGAAUGGGAAUGAAACACUGCAGUAAAAAAGUAAGUUUAGCUAAAUACUCAUACGUCAGAAAGGAAUUAAAGUUUUGUCAUUAAGUCUCGAAUCAAUUCUAAAUAACAGCUUUAGUGUCAGAUCGUAAAGUCCAAGAAGACUAUUAAAUCACUUAUCCGCUUAUGUUAUUACGGAAAUCAUCAGUGGGAAAUGGUCAGUAGGCGUAACAAACAGUUUCCACACAGAGGAAUCUCACUUAUGUUCUAUAUCCGUAGCUCAACGGAUAUUAGCCCUAUAUGGUUGGGCAUGCCUAAGACCUUAUUUAUGGGGUUUUCUAGACUCUCUUACCUCCAAAGACGACACCUGUUUCCGGCCUUAUCUACUGGUUUCGAUCGGGCAUCUUUUUGAGUCCACUCCGACGUUGGCUCUGAUUUUUCCACAACUGGCUGCUGUGGCUAUAAUUUUCAUCAAACAGUCGACAGUUCUCGUUGGUUUGUUGCUAGAAAACAAGCGGCAUUUCGUGGUGUGCGUGGCUUUCCAUCUGUGUGCAUUUCUCUUCGUCUUUCAUCUGUGUGUUUGUGCGGCAUGAACGACUCUUUCUUAAUUUUCACUUGACGUGCUGGCAUGCUUUUGUGCUUUUUUACAUUAUUAUUAUCAUAUUUGCAUUUUUUCUGCAUCUCUUGUCUGCUCGGCUUGUCGUUGUCCGUCGUCUCCUCUCUUUGCCUUGCAUUAAAUUAUUAUUUACUGUGUACAGUGGGGCCUCGGUGGGGAAGAUGAUACUCCUGGGGUUCGGUCUCGGUUUCAGCUUUUGUCUCUGCACUGAUAAAAAUAUUUGGGGCAGCAGAAUUUUAAGUAUUACAAUCAUAAUAGGAAUAGUUCAGCUAAACGGAAUCUACUUUGGAGCGCAGACUGUAGCCUCUUUCAAAGUCAUGAGUUGUUAAAUUAAUCCCUAUAAACAAACAUAUUAACCAAUUCUUUCUUCAAUGUCAAAUUGCUUUAAAUUAUUGUUCUCUGUGUAUUUGUGUUUACAGCGCCAACUCUUCAACUAAUUUUUUGCUUUCAUUUUGCUCUACCUCACCCUAUCUCCCUUUCACUCUAUCUCUCUCGCUGUCCCCCUCUCGCAAUGGCGCUUAAUAAUUAUGUGGGAAAUUGCAAAAUAAUGCUAGACAGAAAUAUUUCUAGUAUUUCUUUCAUUUUCUGUGCUUUGUGUGUUUCGUUUCGUUUUGCACUUGUGUUUUCUUUUUUUUUGCAUUUUCCAUUCGCUGUUUUUGUAUAAUUCGCUUAACUAUGCGAGAAAGUGUUGUGGGCGUUAUGUUGUAAAAAUUAUGCUGCAAAAUAUCAGCAGCAAAAAACUGCAACACCGCCGACCAAAGAAACUAAAAAUGAAAUGCAUUCAAAUGGAAUUGCGGCUGCUUUUCAAUUUGCCAACAUUGUAAAGUGAAGUGAAGGUUGCUAAAGGGAAAAACUGAUUUUCCAUCUAGGAAUUUUCCAGGUUUUCCAAAGGAAAUAGAAAUUUCAAGUAAACAGAUCAUUUACAGAUUAUUCUUUAUCAAAAAAAGGAAAGUUUGAUACCUCUAUAUAUAAUAAUAAUAGAUUAAUUCGCAUUGACCAGUUGAUCCCGGUAACUUUCUCAUUCCUUAAACUCCUAUACCUUUUGGCCAUAACGCGAUUACCAUAAUUGCAUGGAACACCCAAAAAACUGAUAUCUUUUCCGAUUCAAGUGCAAGCUCACCUCAGGAAUAAACUAUACAACAAAAAUGUAUCUUUAGAUGGCUGUCAACUUUCACUUGAUAUUUUUCGAUCGAUGCAAUCGGAAGGUGUAUUGUCUGUAUUUUUUUACUUUGUUAUGUUUUUUGCAUAAUUUCCUACGGCUCUCGUUGUUGGAUAAGAAACGAAGGCGAAACACUUUUCAUUUUGCCAUAAUGAAGCGCUUAUAUGCCGCGAACAUCAUGUGCCUGCUCCAAUCACACAGACCAAAAAUGGUCAGAAAUCAGCUGUUUGUGUGCCGGCCAAACAAAUUUCAACUGGUCACUGAACCAUUCACUCCAUUCAGAGAGCUAGCCAAAUUGAUCAAAAACUGGGCUGCCGAUGUGUUGAUAAUGUUAACGAAGAUUGAAUCGGCUGGUGUUGUUAUAGUUGCAUGCACCAUGAAUAUCGCAUUUCAAUUCUAGCGUGCCGAGUCUUAUGCUGCUGUCAGUUUUUUAACGAGCUGUUUAAAUAAAUGUAAAAUGAGAAAACUAGAGCAGUUUAUGAUAAGGUUUACGAGACACUUUGUUGAAUUGCUGUGUUAAAGUCAAACGGAAAACAAGUAAUAAGUUUCAGGCUGAUUGAUUUUGCAUGUGAUGUAUUUAUGUGCAUGUAUGGAACUAAAACUGGCUAAAUAUAUUUUAGCUGUCUAACUUUACCACUACUUUUUAUAGGGUAUUUUCUUGGCCAUUUACCAUUGGGUUUUCCAUUCCCAGAAUCACCUGCAUUUCGUGUUUGAUUGAUCGCAGCAUUUAAAGCCGAACGUUGUCUUCUUGCUGAGUUGUAAACGAGUGAAAGACAGGGAAAUGAGAUGGGACCCCCGAAGAUCCGAUGCUUUUAAACUCUGCUCAAACAACAUCAACUUGAACAAGCAUUCGUGGCUAAUUUGCAUAUCGAAGUAAGCCAUUGAAUGCCGGGACUUGAACGAGUCAAUUGGUGGGUCUCGACUGGUCAAAUGUAUCCGCUCGUCGCGGAGUCAUAAAGUGCAUUUAGUGCUUAGUAUUCGGCUUAAUUCAAUAAAUUAAUUGUGUCGUUAGACUCGCUCAACUUUUACCACACACUUCCUGCCGACCAAGCACGUAACUUGCGUUGCUAGAAAAACUAUGCAAUAAGUGCUACAGACCGACAAUUGUCAUUCAGAUGGUUAUUUAAUGACCCAAGCCAAGGGCCCCGCGUUGGGCGCCAAAUGUUUCUGUUUGGGGGUCGCACGUGCGGUCGCUUAGAAAAUAUCGGCAGACAGCCGGAAGCAUUUCAUAGGCCGUUGUUAAUAAUCACUCUCGUUAGAUGUCCAAAAAAA